AGACUAAGAGCCUGUCCUGUUCCUGUCAAUCAGACACGCAGUGUCAACCAAUGAACCAAAGAUGCGUGAGGGAGGGCCGAGCUAACUCACUCACAGUCACACACUUAGCAGCCGAGGAGAGAGGAAGGACAGCUGUGAAAACAACAGCUGGAAAAUGAGUUGGAAGCACAGUAGCAUUUGGAUGCAUUUUAAUAACGUAGACAAUGUUAGAGUACAGUGUAGAAUUUGCCAAAACAAAAUCUCAUAUAAAGUCGGUGCUAAGCACAACCUACAGCGGCAAAUGAGAACUGUGCACCCAACUGUGAAGCUAGCUGUAGUGGAGCUUCGAGAAACUAGCGGGCCUGCUAGUGAUAGUGGUGGAGCCAGCGUAUCCACUCAGUCAAGUAGGCCUACUCCGCGACCCACAGCAACGCGCCUUCUAUGGACCAGUUUAUGCCAAAGUCUUUGUCUGUAGCAAAACAAGGCCAAAUUGAUAUUGCCUUGGCUAAAAUAAUUGCCACCGAUUUCCAGACAUUUUCGAUUGUGGAGGACAGAGGUUUUAGAAAUUAUAGCAAUAGUCUAAAUCCAAUGUACACAAUUCCAAGCAGGAAAACCCUUUCAAAAUCACUUAUUCUACAACUGUACGAGAGCACACAGGCUUCAAUGCGGGAAAGACUCCAAAAAGCUACUGCAGUUUGCCUUACCACUGACUGCUGGAAAUCAAGGGUAACCCACUUCUUACAUGUCAAUUACAUGUCACUUCAUUGAAGAUUUUUCGAUGUCUAGCUGUCUUCUGGACUGCUUUGAGCGACAGACACACCUCAGAGAACUUGGCAGAGGAACUGUUGAGAGUCGCCAGAGAAUGGCAAGUAGAUGGAAAAGUUGUCUGUUGUGUUAGUGACAAUGCAGCUAACAUAACCAAAGCCAUGAAAAUGUUAAAAUGGACCCAUCAUCCAUGUCUUGCCCACACAAUCAACCUGAUUGUAAGAGAUGCUCUGAAGGUGAUGAAGCCCACUGUGGACAAAGUGAAAGCAGCUGUGGAAUACUUCCACAGGAGCACAGUAGGUGCUGAAAAACUAAAGUCUACACAACGCCAGAUGGGGAUGCCUGAGCUGAGGCCUAAACAAGACUGCACUACAAGAUGGAAUUCAACAUUUUAUAUGUUGAAGCGGUUUCUUGAGUCAAAGGAUGCCAUCAUCUCUACCCUGACCAUUGUCAAUGCACCUGUUGAUGCUCUGACCCAAGAGGAAUGGGAGGUGGUGGAGGAGCGAUGAGUCAGCCUCAAAAAUGAUACUCUGCAGCGAAUCACAGCCAGCCACCAGAGAGAAGCAAAUGUAACCACAGGACAUGUGACAGAGUUGAUGGAUACCCUAUGUUCAUCAAUGGACAGAAAGUUCCACAGAAUGGAAUAUAAUCACGUGCUAUCAGAAACCGCUGCACUUGAUGUCACGUCCUGACCCUAGUAAGAUGUCAUUUUCUAUAGUAGGUAGGGCAGGGCGUGACAGGGGGUGUUUUGGGUUGUUCUAUGUUUUCUAUUUCUGUGUUUAAGUUCUAGUUUUUCUAUUUCUAUGUUGGGAUUGUUUGGGGUUGAUCUCUAAUUGGAGGCAGCUGAUCCUCAUUGCCUCUGAUUAGAGAUCAUAUUUAAGUAGGGGUUUUUCUCUUCUUGUUUGUGGGUUAUUAUCUUUUGAGUAGUGUGUUUUCCUCUGCGUCACGGGUUGUUGUUUUGUGUUUUCAAGUAAUUUACGUGUAUUGCUUUCAGUUUCACGUUUAAUAAAUAUGUGGAACUACGAACACGCUGCAUUUUGGUCCGCUCCUUCGAACAGCCGUGACAGAAUAACCCACCAUAAAAGGACCAAUCAGCGUGGAAUGGAGCAGCAGGAGAAAUGGACUUGGGAGGACAUACUGGAGGGAAAAGGAUCCUGGACGUGGGAGGAAAUCCAGGCCGGUAUGGAUCGCCUCCGAUGGGAACAGGUGGAAGCAGAGAGGGAAGUACAGCGACGAGAUCAACAGGCAAGGCUACGAAGGAAGCACGAGAGGCAUUCCCCUCAAAAAUGUUUGGGGGGGGCACAUGGGAAGUUUGGCAGAGUCAGGGUGGAGACCUGAGCCAACUCCCCGUGCUUACCGUGGGGAGCGGGUGACGAGGCAAGCACCGAGCUAUGCGGUGAUGCGCACUGGAUCGCCAGUGAGCAUUCACAGGUCGGUGCGAUCUGUGCCCGCGCCCUGCAUUAGUCGAGCUAGGUUGAGCAUCCAGCCAGAACGGGUUAUGCCAGCUCUACGCUCGAGAUCUCCAGUGCGCCUCCACGGCCCAGUAUAUCCUGUGCCUGCCCCACGUACCCGACAUCCAGUGCGCCUGCCCAGUCCGGGGUGUCCUGUUCCUGCUCCCCGCACUCACCCUGAGGUGCGUGUUAUUAGUCUGGCGCCUCCUAUGCCAGCCCCACGCAUCAGGCCUCCUGUGCGCAUCCAUAACCCGGUACAGCCAGUGCCUGCUGUGAGCACUCGGCCCUUAGUGCGUCUCCCCAGUCCGGUGAGAGCGAUUCCAGCUCCUCGCACUCUUCCUCCAGUGCGCAUCCAUAACCCGGUACAGCCAGUGCCUGCUGUGAGCACUCGGCCCUUAGUGCGUCUCCCCAGUCCGGUGAGACCGAUUCCUGCUCCUCGCACUCUCCCUCCAGUGCGCCUCCAUAGCCCAGUACAUCCUGUGCCUGCUCCCCGCAUUCGCCCUGAGGUGCGUGUUGCUAGUCUGGUGCCUCCUAUGCCAGCUCCACGCAUCAGGCCUCUAGGGCGCCUGCCCAGUCCGGGGUGUCCUGUGCCUGCUCCCCGCACUCGACCUGAGGUCUGGUUCCUCCGGACAUACAGAAGCGGGGGGGAUCAGCGGGCGGUGGGGGUACUACGCCCGGAACCAGAGCCGCCGCCAUAGACAUUAGUCACCCACCCUACCCUCCCUUUGUGUUUUGUGGUUGUUUUGUUGUUGGGUUUUUUUGUUUGUUUGCAUUCGGAGUCUGCACCUUUUUUUUUGGGGGGGGGGGUUACUGUCACAUCCUGACCCUAGUAAGAUGUAAUUUUCUAUAGUAGAGUAGGGCAGGGCACAACAGGGGGUGUUUUGGGUUGUUCUAUGUUUUCUAUUUCUGUUUUUAAGUUCUAGUUUUUCUAUUUCUAUGUUGGGAUUGUUUGGGGUUGAUCUCUAAUUGGAGGCAGCUGAUCCUCAUUGCCUCUGAUUAGAGAUCAUAGGGGUUUUUAUCUUCCUGUUUGUGGGUUAUUAUCUUUUGAGUAGUGUGUUUUCCUCUCUGCGUCAUGGGUUGUUGUUUUCAAGUAAUUUAAGUGUUUUGUAUUUCAGUUUCACGUUUAAUAAAUAUGUGAAACAACGAACACGCUGCAUUUUGGUCCGCUCCUUCGAACAGCCGUGACACUUGACCACAGGUUUAAGAAGUUAGCCUUCAGUGAUGCCAGAGCGAUUG
rnacentral:lncRNA from 1 species